CCCUUAGAUGUUCUGGGCCGCACGCGCGCUACACUGAUGAAUGCAACGAGCUCGUGCCUGCUUCGAAAGAAGCGGGUAAACUUGUGAAAAUUCAUCGUGAUGGGGAUAGAUUAUUGCAAUUAUUAAUCUUCAACGAGGAAUUCCUAGUAAGCGCGAGUCAUCAGCUCGCGUUGAUUACGUCCCUGCCCUUUGUACACACCGCCCGUCGCUCCUACCGAUUGAAUGGUCCGGUGAAAUCUUCGGAUUGCUGACCAAGGCAUUUAUUUGUCGUGGUUGUGAGAAGUUGAUUAAACCUUAUCAUUUAGAGGAAGGAGAAGUCGUAACA
rnacentral:rRNA from 1 species